rnacentral:rRNA from 1 species
GACGAACGCUGGCGGCGUGCUUAACACAUGCAAGUCGAACGGAAAGGCCCUGCUUUUGUGGGGUGCUCGAGUGGCGAACGGGUGAGUAACACGUGAGUAACCUGCCCUUGACUUUGGGAUAACUUCAGGAAACUGGGGCUAAUACCGGAUAGGAGCUCCUGCUGCAUGGUGGGGGUUGGAAAGUUUCGGCGGUUGGGGGUGGACUCGCGGCUUAUCAGCUUGUUGGUGGGGUAGUGGCUUACCAAGGCUUUGACGGGUAGCCGGCCUGAGAGGGUGACCGGCCACAUUGGGACUGAGAUACGGCCCAGACUCCUACGGGAGGCAGCAGUGGGGAAUAUUGCACAAUGGGCGGAAGCCUGAUGCAACAACGCCGCGUGCGGGAUGACGGCCUUCGGGUUGUAAACCGCUUUCGCCUGUGACGAAGCGUGAGUGACGGUAAUGGGUAAAGAAGCACCGGCUAACUACGUGCCAGCAGCCGCGGUGAUACGUAGGGUGCGAGCGUUGUCCGGAUUUAUUGGGCGUAAAGGGCUCGUAGGUGGUUGAUCGCGUCGGAAGUGUAAUCUUGGGGCUUAACCCUGAGCGUGCUUUCGAUACGGGUUGACUUGAGGAAGGUAGGGGAGAAUGGAAUUCCUGGUGGAGCAGUGGAAUGCGCAGAUAUCAGGAGGAACACCAGUGGCGAAGGCGGUUCUCUGGGCCUUUCCUGACGCUGAGGAGCGAAAGCGUGGGGAGCGAACAGGCUUAGAUACCCUGGUAGUCCACGCUGUAAACGGUGGGUACUAGGUGUGGGGUCCAUUCCACGGGUUCCGUGCCGUAGCUAACGCUUUAAGUACCCCGCCUGGGGAGUACGGCCGCAAGGCUAAAACUCAAAGGAAUUGACGGGGCCCCGCACAAGCGGCGGAGCAUGCGGAUUAAUUCGAUGCAACGCGUAGAACCUUACCUGGGUUUGACAUGGAUCGGGAGUGCUCAGAGAUGGGUGUGCCUCUUUUGGGGUCGGUUCACAGGUGGUGCAUGGCUGUCGUCAGCUCGUGUCGUGAGAUGUUGGGUUAAGUCCCGCAACGAGCGCAACCCUUGUUCACUGUUGCCAGCACGUUAUGGUGGGGACUCAGUGGAGACCGCCGGGGUCAACUCGGAGGAAGGUGGGGAUGACGUCAAGUCAUCAUGCCCCUUAUGUCCAGGGCUUCACGCAUGCUACAAUGGCUGGUACAGAGAGUGGCGAGCCUGUGAGGGUGAGCGAAUCUCGGAAAGCCGGUCUCAGUUCGGAUUGGGGUCUGCAACUCGACCUCAUGAAGUCGGAGUCGCUAGUAAUCGCAGAUCAGCAACGCUGCGGUGAAUACGUUCCCGGG